CCUACGGGUGGCAGCAGUGAGGAAUAUUGGUCAAUGGACGAGAGUCUGAACCAGCCAAGUAGCGUGAAGGAUGACUGCCCUAUGGGUUGUAAACUUCUUUUAUAAAGGAAUAAAAUGAUGCACGUGUGCCUUUUUGUAUGUACUUUAUGAAUAAGGAUCGGCUAACUCCGUGCCAGCAGCCGCGGUAAUACGGAGGAUCCGAGCGUUAUCCGGAUUUAUUGGGUUUAAAGGGAGCGUAGAUGGGUUGUUAAGUCAGUUGUGAAAGUUUGCGGCUCAACCGUAAAAUUGCAAUUGAUACUGGCAGUCUUGAGUACAGUUGAGGUAAGCGGAAUUCGUGGUGUAGCGGUGAAAUGCUUAGAUAUCACGAAGAACCCCGAUUGCGAAGGCAGCUUACUAAACUGUGACUGACAUUGAUGCUCGAAAGUGUGGGUAUCAAACAGGAUUAGAUACCCGAGUAGUC
rnacentral:rRNA from 1 species